rnacentral:rRNA from 1 species
AACGCCAUGGUUUCGGCCAUGGAGUGGCGCACGGGUGAGUAACGCGUGGGAACCUGCCUAGCAGUAUGGGACAACCGCGGGAAACUGCGGCUAAUACCGUAUACGCCCGUCUUUGGGAGACCAGUGGCGGGGAAAGAUUGAUCGCUGUUAGAGGGGCCCGCGUCGGAUUAGGUAGUUGGUGGGGUAAAGGCCUACCAAGCCUGCGAUCCGUAGCUGGUCUGAGAGGAUGAUCAGCCACACUGGGACUGAGACACGGCCCAGACUCCUACGGGAGGCAGCAGUGGGGAAUAUUGGACAAUGGGCGCAAGCCUGAUCCAGCAAUGCCGCGUGAGUGAUGAAGGACUUAGGGUUGUAAAGCUCUUUCAAACGCGACGAUGAUGACGGUAGCGUGAGAAGAAGCCCCGGAUAACUCCGUGC